rnacentral:rRNA from 1 species
UACGAAGGGGGGCUAGCGUUGCUCGGAAUCACUGGGCGUAAAGGGUGCGUAGGCGGGUCUUUAAGUCAGGGGUGAAAUCCUGGAGCUCAACUCCAGAACUGCCUUUGAUACUGAAGAUCUUGAGUUCGGGAGAGGUGAGUGGAACUGCGAGUGUAGAGGUGAAAUUCGUAGAUAUUCGCAAGAACACCAGUGGCGAAGGCGGCUCACUGGCCCGAUACUGACGCUGAGGCACGAAGGUCAGGGGAGCAAACGGGG